rnacentral:rRNA from 1 species
GACAGAGGGUGCAAACGUUGUUCGGAAUUACUGGGCGUAAAGCGAGUGUAGGCGGUCUUCUAAGUCGGAUGUGAAAGCCCCGGGCUCAACCCGGGAAGUGCACUCGAUACUGGGAGGCUAGAGUAUCGGAGAGGUUGGUGGAAUUCUCGGUGUAGAGGUGAAAUUCGUAGAUAUCGAGAGGAACACCGGUGGCGAAGGCGGCCAACUGGACGAAUACUGACGCUGAGACUCGAAAGCGUGGGGAGCAAACAGG